UACGUAGGGGGCGAGCGUUGUCCGGAUUUAUUGGGCGUAAAGAGCGUGUAGGCGGCCAGGUAGGUCUGCUGUGAAAACUCGAGGCUCAACCUCGAGACGUCGGCGGAAACCAUCUGGCUAGAGUCCGGAAGAGGAGAGUGGAAUUCCUGGUGUAGCGGUGAAAUGCGCAGAUAUCAGGAAGAACACCCGUGGCGAAGGCGGCUCUCUGGGACGGUACUGACGCUGAGACGCGAAAGCGUGGGGGAGC
rnacentral:rRNA from 1 species